rnacentral:piRNA from 1 species
UGGCAAGGAGCACAUACCAUCAAGCCA